AACUUUCUACGCUUGUCGUCUCUGUUUCAUCUUCUUCGUUCUUCUCUCCUUGUAAAUUGUAAUUUCUAAUUUUAUCUUGUUUGUUUGUUGUCAGAGAAUGGAGCUUCUUCAUGAGUUGGUUUUAACUGUUUUUAUCGCCGCCUUGUUUUCUUAUUUUGUUGCUAAGCUGGUUUCGCUUGCCAUGCCUGCUGGUGCUGCUCAUGAUUCUAACUCUGCCGCCACCGAGCUCAAAGACGUUGAUGAGGAUGAUAUUAUGGAGGAAUUGCAGUAUGGAGAGAACUUGAAUGUUGGAGUACUCGAAGGAGAAGAUAGAGUUCAAUUAGUCGAAGAAACUGUGGAAAAAGUGGAGAAAUUUCAAGGAGGGGUUCAACAUGCCGAAGAAAUCGCGGAGUCAGUGUCACAUGGCGAAGAAAUCGAAUCCGAACGCUUCCAGUCACCGGAAAAAUUGAUGGAGGUUCGUGGACCGUGCAAAGAAUCAUCGGAGGAGGAAAUUGUGGAGAAAGAAGCGAACACGGAGGAGAAUUUGGUCGAAGAAACAUUUGAAAAUGAAGAAAUGGCUGUAAAUAAUGAUGUGAUUAUUCCAGAGUCGGCUGUAAACAAUAAUGUUGAUAUUGAAGAAUCGGCUGUCAACGAUAGUGUUAUUAUCAAGGAAUCGGGUGUCAAUGAUAAUGUUAUUAUGGAAGAAUUGGGUGUAAAUGAUAAUAGUAAUAUUAUUAUUGAAGAAUCUGUUGUAAAUAAUCAUGUUAUUAUUGAAAAAUCGGGAGAGAUCGGUGAGUCAAUGGAUGGUUUGGUAACAGAGGAGGAUGAUGAGUGGGAGGGGAUAGAAAGGAGUGAAUUGGAGAAAGUUUUUGGAGAGGCUGCCAAGUAUUUGGGGUCUGGAGAUAAGGAUGAUUUGGUUAGCGACGUAAAAAUGGAGUUGUAUGGUCUUCACAAGAUUGCUACUGAGGGACCUUGCCGUGAGCCACAGCCAAUUCCUCUUAUGGUCUCUGCUCGUGCCAAGUGGAAUGCUUGGCAAAGGCUGGGGAACAUGAAUCCAGAGGAGGCAAUGGAGCAGUAUGUCAAACUUCUUUCGGAUAGAGUUCCUGGGUGGAUGGAGGAACAUUGUUGUGGAGAUAGCAAAUUGGGAUCUCAUGAAGCAGGAAAACAUGAUGCUGCUGCUCCUGCAUUAGGGUCAUUUCCAGGCCAUCAAGUAGAUUGUGCACAUGAAAGGAACCUGGAAAUGAACUGCGAUAGUGAGGCAGGUGGUCUAACUGGUGGACCAUGCCUGAAGAUCAAGGGGAUGUAAACAUGGGUCCUAACAGAAUGCUAAAAGUGCUCAACUCAAUUUUCAUGCUUUGCUAGAACUUAAAAAGUUUGUCUUGCCAUUGAGUCAACAGACGUUGAAGCAUUCAGCUAGUUGAUUCCUAUGCCAAUUAUUGAUCAGGGUGUACAUUUGGGCUACAGAAUGAAUGCUUAGCUGCUUCAGCUUCAUAACCGCAGGGGCCAUUCUCCUGGGUUUGCUUGACCCGAAACAGGGCUAUUAAUUAUCUUGAAGCAUGCAUAUACUUCUGUGUGCAAGGUUCUUGUGCUAUUUAUGUUAUCAAUUGUGUCCUAAUAUUAUAAUUAUGCUAUGUGGAUAAAGUAACCAUUGACAUUGUGCAUAUGUGCGUGUGUGUAUAUAUAUAUAUAUAUAUCCAAAAUAAUGUCCUUCCCAUAA